rnacentral:rRNA from 1 species
AUCGAACGCUGGCGGCAUGCCUUACACAUGCAAGUCGAACGGUAACAGAUUAAGUUGACGAGUGGCGAACGGGUGAGUAAUGUAUCGGAACUUGCUCAGUCGUGCGGGAUAACUGGACAAAAGAGCGGCAAAUGCCGCAAUCGCCCAUAGGGUGAAAGGGGUGGGGUGCAAUGCCUCGCGCAAUUUGAGCGGUCGAUAUCGGAUUCGGUAGUUGGCGAGGUAAAGGCUCACCAAGGCGACGAUCGGUAGCUGGUCUGAGAGGACGACCAGCCACACUGGGACUGAGACACGGCCCAGACUCCUACGGGAGGCAGCAGUGGGGAAUUUUGGGCAAUGGGCGAAAGCCUGAUCCAGCCAUGCCGCGUGCGGGAAGAAGGCCUUCGGGUUGUAAACCGCUUUUGUGAGGGAAGAAGAGGUUGUGGCUAAUAGCUGGGACUCCUGACGGUACCUGAAGAAUGAGCACCGGCUAACUACGUG